rnacentral:rRNA from 1 species
CACCAACCAACGCCAGGGAAUUACGAGCUAUGCUUAAAACCCAAAGGACUUGACGGUGUCCCACCCACCUAGAGGAGCCUGUUCUAUAAUCGAUGAUCCCCGAUACACCUAACCAUUCCUCGCCCAUCAGUCUGUAUACCUCCGUCGAAAGCCUACCAUGUGAACGCUUACAGUAGGCCCAAUGAUCCUCAUCAACACGUCAGGUCAAGGUGCAGCUUACGGAAUGGAAAGCAAUGGGCUACAAUUUCUAGUUUAGAACAAACGAAAGACUCUGUGAAACCUUAGUCAUGAAGGCGGAUUUAGUAGUAAAAGGAAAAUAGAGUGUUCCUUUUAACCUGGCUCUGGGACGCGUACACACCGCCCGUCACCCUCUUCGAUAGCACUUCACCCAGGUAUUUAACCAAUACCGCAUCUU